UUAAGCGACUAAGCGUACACGGUGGAUGCCCUGGCAGUCAGAGGCGAUGAAGGACGUGCUAAUCUGCGAAAAGCGUCGGUAAGGUGAUAUGAACCGUUAUAACCGGCGAUGUCCGAAUGGGGAAACCCAGUGCAAUUCGUUGCACUAUCGUUAACUGAAUACAUAGGUUAACGAGGCGAACCGGGGGAACUGAAACAUCUAAGUACCCCGAGGAAAAGAAAUCAACCGAGAUUCCCCCAGUAGCGGCGAGCGAACGGGGAGCAGCCCAGAGUCUGAAUCAGCUUGUGUGUUAGUGGAACGGUCUGGAAAGUCCGACGGUACAGGGUGAUAGUCCCGUACACCAAAAUGCACAGGCUGUGAACUCGAAGAGUAGGGCGGGACACGUGGUAUCCUGUCUGAAUAUGGGGGGACCAUCCUCCAAGGCUAAAUACUCCUGACUGACCGAUAGUGAACCAGUACCGUGAGGGAAAGGCGAAAAGAACCCCGGCGAGGGGAGUGAAAAAGAACCUGAAACCGUGUACGUACAAGCAGUGGGAGCACCUUCGGGUGUGACUGCGUACCUUUUGUAUAAUGGGUCAGCGACUUAUAUUCUGUAGCAAGGUUAACCGUAUAGGGGAGCCGCAGGGAAACCGAGUCUUAACUGGGCGUUAAGUUGCAGGGUAUAGACCCGAAACCCGGUGAUCUAGCCAUGGGCAGGUUGAAGGUUGGGUAACACUAACUGGAGGACCGAACCGACUAAUGUUGAAAAAUUAGCGGAUGACUUGUGGCUGGGGGUGAAAGGCCAAUCAAACCGGGAGAUAGCUGGUUCUCCCCGAAAGCUAUUUAGGUAGCGCCUCGUGAACUCAUCUUCGGGGGUAGAGCACUGUUUCGGCUAGGGGGUCAUCCCGACUUACCAACCCGAUGCAAACUACGAAUACCGAAGAAUGUUAUCACGGGAGACACACGGCGGGUGCUAACGUCCGUCGUGAAGAGGGAAACAACCCAGACCGCCAGCUAAGGUCCCAAAGUCAUGGUUAAGUGGGAAACGAUGUGGGAAGGCACAGACAGCCAGGAUGUUGGCUUAGAAGCAGCCAUCAUUUAAAGAAAGCGUAAUAGCUCACUGGUCGAGUCGGCCUGCGCGGAAGAUGUAACGGGGCUAAACCAUGCACCGAAGCUGCGGCAGCGACACUAUGUGUUGUUGGGUAGGGGAGCGUUCUGUAAGCCUGCGAAGGUGUGCUGUGAGGCAUGCUGGAGGUAUCAGAAGUGCGAAUGCUGACAUAAGUAACGAUAAAGCGGGUGAAAAGCCCGCUCGCCGGAAGACCAAGGGUUCCUGUCCAACGUUAAUCGGGGCAGGGUGAGUCGACCCCUAAGGCGAGGCCGAAAGGCGUAGUCGAUGGGAAACAGGUUAAUAUUCCUGUACUUGGUGUUACUGCGAAGGGGGGACGGAGAAGGCUAUGUUAGCCGGGCGACGGUUGUCCCGGUUUAAGCAUGUAGGCUGAUUGUCCAGGCAAAUCCGGAUAAUCAAGGCUGAGGUGUGAUGACGAGGCACUACGGUGCUGAAGUAACAAAUGCCCUGCUUCCAGGAAAAGCCUCUAAGCAUCAGGUAACAUCAAAUCGUACCCCAAACCGACACAGGUGGUCAGGUAGAGAAUACCAAGGCGCUUGAGAGAACUCGGGUGAAGGAACUAGGCAAAAUGGUGCCGUAACUUCGGGAGAAGGCACGCUGGUGUGUAGGUGAAGUCCCUGCGGAUGGAGCUGAGACCAGUCGAAGAUACCAGCUGGCUGCAACUGUUUAUUAAAAACACAGCACUGUGCAAACACGAAAGUGGACGUAUACGGUGUGACGCCUGCCCGGUGCCGGAAGGUUAAUUGAUGGGGUUAUCCGUAAGGAGAAGCUCUUGAUCGAAGCCCCGGUAAACGGCGGCCGUAACUAUAACGGUCCUAAGGUAGCGAAAUUCCUUGUCGGGUAAGUUCCGACCUGCACGAAUGGCGUAAUGAUGGCCAGGCUGUCUCCACCCGAGACUCAGUGAAAUUGAACUCGCUGUGAAGAUGCAGUGUACCCGCGGCAAGACGGAAAGACCCCGUGAACCUUUACUAUAGCUUGACACUGAACAUUGAGCCUUGAUGUGUAGGAUAGGUGGGAGGCUUUGAAGCGUGGACGCCAGUCUGCGUGGAGCCAACCUUGAAAUACCACCCUUUAAUGUUUGAUGUUCUAACGUUGGCCCCUGACCGGGGUUGCGGACAGUGUCUGGUGGGUAGUUUGACUGGGGCGGUCUCCUCCCAAAGCGUAACGGAGGAGCACGAAGGUUAGCUAAUCCUGGUCGGACAUCAGGAGGUUAGUGCAAUGGCAUAAGCUAGCUUGACUGCGAGCGUGACGGCGCGAGCAGGUGCGAAAGCAGGCUCGAUUUGCCGACGCCGUCCGGGCCAAUCAGGCCAACCAUACGCCGUGCCGGGAUCGCCAGACUGAUAUCGCGCAGCGCGAUGGUGGCGCCAAACUGCUGACCAACAUGUUCCAGCAGGGCGACGGGGGGCGAGGUAUCCUGCGGCGUUAGUUUCAUUGCGGCAACCUCACCGCCAGGGCUUCAGGCCAGGGUUGUUGUUUAUCCAGCCGUACGUAAGCCAUACCGGGCAGGCCGGUUUUGACAUACUCCAGGUGUUGCGCCAGCAGCUCCGGCGGGAUACGCGCUUUGACGCGGAACAUUAGCUUCAGGCGCUCGUCGCUGGUCUCGACCGUUUUCGGCGUGAACUGGGCGACGCUGGCGACAAAGCUGAUAUUGGCCGGGAUCACCAGAUCCGGCGCGGCAUCAAGGACCAAGCGCGCUUCGCUGCCGAGCGCCAGCAGACCUGCCUGU
rnacentral:rRNA from 1 species